rnacentral:rRNA from 1 species
UACGGAGGAUUCAAGCGUUAUCCGGAUUUACUGGGUGUAAAGGGAGCGUAGACGGCAGCGCAAGUCUGGAGUGAAAUCCCAUGGCUUAACCAUGGAACUGCUUUGGAAACUGGCGGGCUAGAGUGCGGGAGGGGUAAGCGGAAUUCCUAGUGUAGCGGUGAAAUGCGUAGAUAUUAGGAGGAACACCGGUGGCGAAGGCGGCUUACUGGACCGUAACUGACGUUGAGGCUCGAAAGCGUGGGGAGCAAACAGG